UACGGAGGGUGCAAACGUUGCUCGGAAUUAUUGGGCGUAAAGCGCGCGCAGGCGGUUUCUUAAGUCUGAUGUGAAAGCCCACGGCUCAACCGUGGAGGGUCAUUGGAAACUGGGAAACUUGAGUGCAGAAGAGAAGAGUGGAAUUCCACGUGUAGCGGUGAAAUGCGUAGAGAUGUGGAGGAACACCAGUGGCGAAGGCGACUCUUUGGUCUGUAACUGACGCUGAGGCGCGAAAGCGUGGGGAGCAAACAGG
rnacentral:rRNA from 1 species